rnacentral:sRNA from 1 species
UUGGAUCAACAGCCUCCUCUCUUGGGGACUCUCAAGAGCCUGUGUUCAUCUAGAAGUAGUAGUUUGAUUCUGGUUUCCCUCCUACAGUGUGUCCUCCAUCUCUGUGCAGCUCCGUCAUUACCAUAGGGGACUUGGUUUUAGACUCUGAUGAGGAAGAAAAUGGCCAGGGGGAAGGAAAGGAAUCUCUGGAAAACUAUCAGAAGACAAAGUUUAACACCUUGAUACCCACUCUCUGUGAAUACCUACCCCCUUCUGGCCACGGUGCCAUGCCUGUUUCUUCCUGUGACUGUAGAGACAGUUCUAGACCUUUGUGAUAGAACUAAAAUGCUCUCUGUACUCUAGUCUCCUGCCUCCUCAGCUCUGCAAGUAGUUUAGUAGGAAUGAAGUGGAAGUCCAGGCUUGGAUUGCCUAACGACACUGCUAAAAAUAUUUGUAAUCCUUAAUAAUUAAACUUUGGAUUUGUUAAAA